rnacentral:rRNA from 1 species
AGAGUUUGAUCCUGGCUCAGAUUGAACGCUGGCGGCAUGCUUUACACAUGCAAGUCGAACGGCAGCACAGGGAGCUUGCUCCCGGGUGGCGAGUGGCGCACGGGUGAGUAAUACAUCGGAACGUGUCCUGUUGUGGGGGAUAACUGCUCGAAAGGGUGGCUAAUACCGCAUGAGACCUGAGGGUGAAAGCGGGGGAUCGCAAGACCUCGCGCAAUUGGAGCGGCCGAUGCCGAUUAGCUAGUUGGUGAGGUAAAGGCUCACCAAGGCGACGAUCGGGUAGCUGGUCUGGACGAGGACGACCAGCCACACUGGGACUGAGACACGGCCCAGACUCCUACGGGAGGCA